rnacentral:lncRNA from 1 species
AUUCUAGCAGGUCAAUUCUUCUGGGGAAAAAAUUGAAAAAAAUAGAGGAGCGUCGAAUUGGAUUGUUCUGUUUGACGUUGGUGAUUCAGAGCAUUCAGAGCUGCUGACAUUUGCAGGUUAAGUUUUAAUUAUAAUUAAUUACAACUGAACUGUCCAGAUUUAUUCAUUUUAAUAUAUCUUCCUUGUGUAUGUGUUUAUACUUGAUAGGAUUUUCAUUUUCCCCUACCAAUCUUAGCAAUGAAUUUCUAGAUUUCUUGUUUAAGUCGCCCAAGGUUAACCAAUGUAUUUUACUCUUCUGUUUAAGUCUUGUUCUUCCUGUUCCAUCACUUCUGCACUGGAUUACUAAAUUUUCUGUAUCACCCAACAAAUCAGAGCUAAUUAUGUGUAGUCAUUCUGCCUUCAUUGCAAUUUGUUGUGAAAUAGAUGCCUGAUUUUUCAGCCAUUGUUUUGUAAUCAUCUUAAUUUCCUUCCAUUUUCUUGUAAGCCUAUAAGUAACUGAUCGGAUCCACUGAAAUUUUUACUCCAAACUGCUUUAAUUAUUGCAUUAAAAUCAGGUCUGGUCAUUCAGGAGGAGUACAUCCUCCUAAAAGGAGGAUUAGAUUUGGUACUUGCUUGAAUUUUUAAUAUUAAAGCUAGGUGGUCGGUCACUAGUGCCUCCAUUAAAUGUAUUUGCUGUUUUCCCUGGCCAUGCAUUAACCUAAUUUUGAUUUAGUAAAAUGUGACCCAACCUACUCUAUUUUGCAUUAGUAGUCCAUCUCUCAUCCAAUUCACAUCUGGUAAUUUUCAGCAUCAUUUAUUACAACCCUUGCUAGGUCCCGUAUCAUCAUAAGUACCUUUGUCUAACCUUUCCUCAGAGGUUAAAACCUCAUUAAAAUCACCCAUUAUCGUCCAUUUUUCGUUUCUAUGUGCUCUGGAAAUAUUCCUCAGAUCUUCCCAUAAACUUCUUCUUUCAAUUUCAUUAUUACUCCCAUGUACCAUAGUAAGUAACUAGUAUUGUCAAGCCUCCAUGAUUUUUAAGUUUUAUAUUCUUAGCAAAUUAAACACAGCAGCCAAUCCAGCCAUCCAGCAAACCAAAUUUCUAUUAAUCUAUAAUCUUGUAGUGUGAUUCAAUAUGAUUGAUGGAUGCGACCCAAUGCGUCCAAAAGAUGACAAAUGCAGCAGUUUCCAUUAAAAAAAUCGAAAACGAGAUAAUGAGAAAAUUUAUGAAAACUCUGUUUAUUCUCAUUUUAAAAUAUUAUUUAAAUUUUGUCCGUCAUUUAAAUUUUAUCCAUUUAUUUUUAUUUAAAAAUGUUAUAUAAACCAUGAACAUUGAGAUAAAUGGUUCUCAUGAAUUUUUUCACCAUCUCCUUUUAAGUUAUCCCUAAAAAAAAUCAUAGGCAAAUGUUAUGUAUCCCACAAAGAGAUUAAAGAGUGUUGCACUUGAAUGACACUAUUUAGGUGUAUAAAUUAGUUAAUGUUUAAUGAGCAUAUUUAAUAUAUAUAUCCAUCCCAUAAUCUCAACCAUUGGUUGCUUGGUCAUAGAGUAAUCUGGAAAAAAACUUAUGGGUAUCACGGAAAUAAAGUCAGGAGAUAUAAGGGUGGGUGAUAUUAUGGAGGGGAUAGCCAAAUUCAGGAAGUCAGCACCAUGCUGGGGGCUACAUUGGAAUGCACUUGCAGCGUUUAUAUGGCAUCUUUGGAGGGAGAGGAACUUACGACACAAGGAGGGGCUCUCUCAACCGGUAAAAGUCGUGGCAAGGGAUUUUAUACGAGAUUUGGUUAUUAUCUAUGAUUAUCGCAUAUUUAAAAAAGCGCAUCGGUUAAGUUUGGAGGACACAGCUAUCAGAAGGUGGGAGGAAGCCUCGCUAUUGGUUACUGACUUACAAGCCGAGGAUUAACAAGUUAUACCUAUUCCACACAUCCUAUCGUACUUUUAGUUGUUUAAUUAAGUUCUAUCUUUCUUAAUAUCGUAGAUUAAUUCCUUUUAUUUUAAUUUUAAUAUAAAUCGUCAUUAAAAAAAAUCUGGAAAAAACUCUGAAGCAUGCAAAUUUCGCAGAACUGUGUGCCUUUUAAAGGAAAGUAAUCACAGUGUAAGAGGGAAUCUUACAGUACUGCAAAACAGUAGUCCACCAGCUUCAAACCUAUUCUUGGGAUAAUCAAUCAGUCAGGCAAGCUACAAAAAAGCUGGAAAAACACUAUUUUUUGCUUUCUCGAGACACAUUGGGUACGAAACAAAAAAGAACACAUCUCAGUCAUGAGUCAUCCAUGACUCAUGAGUUUAUCGAACUUGGAAAAUAUUAAAAAAUUGUGAAUCAAGAUGGUUGAUGAUUACUUUUUAGUUUACAUUAAGUCUUGUAAUGCAACCAAACAUUGAACUGCUUUUGCUAUACUCUGAAGCAUAAUCACUAUCAUCAUCACACAGAUCUUCAAAAAAACUCAUCUUUGCUCAGUAACAUGCUGUCAAGAUUCGAUCCUACAUAACUCAUCAUUACAGAGAUGUGUGUUCUCAAGCAAUGAAAC